CGACCAGUGGUUGCUGGCAUUCCAGGGGGCAGUUCAUCACACAUACUAUGCACCACAAGUGAUGGUGAAAAAAGGAUACUGAUGGACGGAUUGUAUUAUUGGACUCUCCAGAAAGAACACAGUCUGUCACAGUUGAUGAAGAUGAUGAUGACGAUGAAGAGACCACAUCUGCUGUGACAGAAGUGGACAAUGCUGGUAGAUCCACUGAGUACAUACCUAGGGAUUU